rnacentral:rRNA from 1 species
AGCGUACACGGUGGAUGCCCUGGCAGUCAGAGGCGAUGAAGGACGUGCUAAUCUGCGAUAAGCGUCGGUGAGGUGAUAUGAACCGUUAUAACCGGCGAUUUCCGAAUGGGGAAACCCAGUGUGUUUCGACACACUAUCAUUAACUGAAUCCAUAGGUUAAUGAGGCGAACCGGGGGAACUGAAACAUCUAAGUACCCCGAGGAAAAGAAAUCAACCGAGAUUCCCCCAGUAGCGGCGAGCGAACGGGGAGCAGCCCAGAGUCUGAAUCAGUGUGUGUGUUAGUGGAAGCGUCUGGAAAGGCGCGCGAUACAGGGUGACAGCCCCGUACACAAAAAUGCACAUGCUGUGAGCUCGAUGAGUAGGGCGGGACACGUGGUAUCCUGUCUGAAUAUGGGGGGACCAUCCUCCAAGGCUAAAUACUCCUGACUGACCGAUAGUGAACCAGUACCGUGAGGGAAAGGCGAAAAGAACCCCGGCGAGGGGAGUGAAAAAGAACCUGAAACCGUGUACGUACAAGCAGUGGGAGCCUCUUUUAUGGGGUGACUGCGUACCUUUUGUAUAAUGGGUCAGCGACUUAUAUUCUGUAGCAAGGUUAACCGAAUAGGGGAGCCGAAGGGAAACCGAGUCUUAACUGGGCGUUAAGUUGCAGGGUAUAGACCCGAAACCCGGUGAUCUAGCCAUGGGCAGGUUGAAGGUUGGGUAACACUAACUGGAGGACCGAACCGACUAAUGUUGAAAAAUUAGCGGAUGACUUGUGGCUGGGGGUGAAAGGCCAAUCAAACCGGGAGAUAGCUGGUUCUCCCCGAAAGCUAUUUAGGUAGCGCCUCGUGAAUUCAUCUCCGGGGGUAGAGCACUGUUUCGGCAAGGGGGUCAUCCCGACUUACCAACCCGAUGCAAACUGCGAAUACCGGAGAAUGUUAUCACGGGAGACACACGGCGGGUGCUAACGUCCGUCGUGAAGAGGGAAACAACCCAGACCGCCAGCUAAGGUCCCAAAGUCAUGGUUAAGUGGGAAACGAUGUGGGAAGGCCCAGACAGCCAGGAUGUUGGCUUAGAAGCAGCCAUCAUUUAAAGAAAGCGUAAUAGCUCACUGGUCGAGUCGGCCUGCGCGGAAGAUGUAACGGGGCUAAACCAUGCACCGAAGCUGCGGCAGCGACGCUUAUGCGUUGUUGGGUAGGGGAGCGUUCUGUAAGCCUGUGAAGGUGUGCUGUGAGGCAUGCUGGAGGUAUCAGAAGUGCGAAUGCUGACAUAAGUAACGAUAAAGCGGGUGAAAAGCCCGCUCGCCGGAAGACCAAGGGUUCCUGUCCAACGUUAAUCGGGGCAGGGUGAGUCGACCCCUAAGGCGAGGCCGAAAGGCGUAGUCGAUGGGAAACAGGUUAAUAUUCCUGUACUUGGUGUUACUGCGAAGGGGGGACGGAGAAGGCUAUGUUGGCCGGGCGACGGUUGUCCCGGUUUAAGCGUGUAGGCUGGUUUUCCAGGCAAAUCCGGAAAAUCAAGGCUGAGGCGUGAUGACGAGGCACUACGGUGCUGAAGCAACAAAUGCCCUGCUUCCAGGAAAAGCCUCUAAGCAUCAGGUAACAUCAAAUCGUACCCCAAACCGACACAGGUGGUCAGGUAGAGAAUACCAAGGCGCUUGAGAGAACUCGGGUGAAGGAACUAGGCAAAAUGGUGCCGUAACUUCGGGAGAAGGCACGCUGAUAUGUAGGUGAAGCGACUUGCUCGUGGAGCUGAAAUCAGUCGAAGAUACCAGCUGGCUGCAACUGUUUAUUAAAAACACAGCACUGUGCAAACACGAAAGUGGACGUAUACGGUGUGACGCCUGCCCGGUGCCGGAAGGUUAAUUGAUGGGGUUAGCGGCAACGCGAAGCUCUUGAUCGAAGCCCCGGUAAACGGCGGCCGUAACUAUAACGGUCCUAAGGUAGCGAAAUUCCUUGUCGGGUAAGUUCCGACCUGCACGAAUGGCGUAAUGAUGGCCAGGCUGUCUCCACCCGAGACUCAGUGAAAUUGAACUCGCUGUGAAGAUGCAGUGUACCCGCGGCAAGACGGAAAGACCCCGUGAACCUUUACUAUAGCUUGACACUGAACAUUGAGCCUUGAUGUGUAGGAUAGGUGGGAGGCUUUGAAGUGUGGACGCCAGUCUGCAUGGAGCCGACCUUGAAAUACCACCCUUUAAUGUUUGAUGUUCUAACGUUGGCCCGUAAUCCGGGUUGCGGACAGUGUCUGGUGGGUAGUUUGACUGGGGCGGUCUCCUCCUAAAGAGUAACGGAGGAGCACGAAGGUUGGCUAAUCCUGGUCGGACAUCAGGAGGUUAGUGCAAUGGCAUAAGCCAGCUUGACUGCGAGCGUGACGGCGCGAGCAGGUGCGAAAGCAGGUCAUAGUGAUCCGGUGGUUCUGAAUGGAAGGGCCAUCGCUCAACGGAUAAAAGGUACUCCGGGGAUAACAGGCUGAUACCGCCCAAGAGUUCAUAUCGACGGCGGUGUUUGGCACCUCGAUGUCGGCUCAUCACAUCCUGGGGCUG